AAUAGAUACCCGGGUAGUCCACGCUGUAAACGAUGAGGACUAGAUGUUGGUAGGGGAACCUAUCGGUAUCGAAGCAAACGCGAUAAGUCUUCCGCCUGGGAAGUACGGCCGCAAGGUUGAAACUCAAAUGAAUUGACGGGGGCCCGCACAAGCGGUGGAGCAUGUGGUUUAAUUCGAUGCAACGCGAAGAACCUUACCUACCCUUGACAUCCUAGGAACCCUGCAGAGACGUAGGGGUGCCGAAAGGAACCUAGAGACAGGUGCUGCAUGGCUGUCGUCAGCUCGUGUUGUGAGAUGUUGGGUUAAGUCCCGUAACGAGCGCAACCCUUGCCCUUAGUUGCCAGCAUUAAGUUGGGGACUCUAAGGGGACUGCCGGUGAUGAACCGGAGGAAGGCGGGGACGACGUCAAGUCAUCAUGGCCUUUAUGGGUAGGGCUACACACGUGCUACAAUGGGGCGUACAGAGGGUAGCCAACCCGGCGAGGGGGAGCCAAUCUCAGAAAGCGUCUCGUAGUCCGGAUUGGAGUCUGCAACUCGACUCCAUGAAGUUGGAA
rnacentral:rRNA from 1 species